rnacentral:rRNA from 1 species
UACCAGCACCCCGAGUGGUCGGGACGUUUAUUGGGCCUAAAGCAUCCGUAGCCGGUUCUACAAGUCUUCCGUAAAAUCCAACUGCUUAACAGGUGGGCUGCGGAAGAUACUAUAGAGCUAGGAGGCGGGAGAGGCAAGCGGUACUCGAUGGGUAGGGGUAAAAUCCGUUGAUCCAUUGAAGACCACCAGUGGCGAAGGCGGCUUGCCAGAACGCGCUCGACGGUGAGGGAUGAAAGCUGGGGGAGCAAACCGG